GAUAGGAUGUGCGUGUGAGGUCGGUGUGAGGCGCUCUGCGUGAGUAGCAGAUCCGGUCUCGACGACACAACGUACAUUCCCAAUUCGUUCGCUGGAAAAGGAAAAGGGCGGGAAAAUACCCGAUUUUCCAGGGUUAAGGCUUCGCAUCGGCAUUGUUCAUUCUUCGAUCUUCAUUUAGGAAAUACUCGGCUUUCUUCUUCUUUGUCAGAUUGAGAACUUUUUGAAGAAAUGGGUAAAGAGGGAACCCCACAAAUUACCAAGAGAACGACCAGAUCCUCCUCUUCCACUGCAGAUUCCAGUAAUGCAAUUGCAACAAAAACAGUCAAUGCUCCCCGUCCUCCGUCGAUAAUCAGUGAUCUCACAUUUGGAGAAGAGCCAAUGAGCUUGGAUGCUCUACUUUCUAGUUUUCCCGGUAGACGACUUCAGGUUCUUGAGCUUUUGCAGUUGAUAGGUCCCCUGAAUUCUCCCAUGUUUCCUCUUUUCAUCUAUGGUGGUGCUUCUACUGGGAAAAGCAGUGUCGUUCUUCAAGUUUUCAAGCAUCUCAACCGACCUUUUGUUUAUUCAAGCUGUCGUACUUGUUACAGUCCACGUAUCUUGUUUGAAUCCAUGUUAAAUCAGUUGUUGCUUCAUAGGAGGAAUGCAGGCAAUGGUUAUUCCAGCAUGAAACGCUGUGAAAGGCCUGCUGAUUUUGUUAACUUUCUUCGAGAAGCCUUGACUGAUGUAGUAAAUAAUCUCAAGGAGCCUAUAAAGAAAGCAAGCUCAAAGGAGUUGUUGAAACCAGGACAUGGGAGGAUGAUUUAUUUGAUUUUUGAUCAUUUGGAACUUAUCCAAGAGUGGGACAAGAGUUCUGGCAUUAUACUUUUGUUGUUCAACCUCUUUGAUAUCCUGAAGAUGUCUGAAGUGGGUCUGAUAUUUAUCAGCAAUGUAUCCCCUGAUGCCUAUUACUCAAAUACUGGUCAUGUAGAACCCAUUCCUGUUUACUUUCCAGAUUACACAGAAGACAAUCUAUGUCAGAUAUUCAUGAGAAACCAGGCAAAUCCCAAGCUUUUUUCCUCUUUUCUUGAUGUUGUUCUAAGGCCUUUCUGUAGAAUGACUAGACGGGUUGAUGAACUAUCUGCCGCUUUUCCAUUACUAUUUAAAAAAUAUUGCGAACCUUUAAGUGAUUUAGGUCUUGCUCCAACUGAAGACAUGAAGAGGAAACUGUUCAGUCACCUCCAACCCCACAUAGCACCUUCUCUCAAUGAGAUAUUCAGGGUUCAAUAUGAAUCUCGUGUUGAUGUCAAGGCCAAGGAGAAAGUCAGGAGGAAGGGUAAUAUAAGAAAAUUGGGAAUUGAGGAUGCUCUAGAUGAGAUUGAUUUCCACAUGUCUAUAUCCGCAAAAUAUCUUCUUAUUUCUGCAUUUCUUGCUUCAAGAAACCCAGCUACACUUGAUGCGGCGCUGUUUGAUUCAAUGGGGGGUUCUGAUAAUAGAAAGCGUAAGAGAAAGGCUUCUCAAACAUCAAUGGAGAAGAAGGAAAACACAGAGAAUGAAUUGCUUAUGAGAGGACCUGGAACUUUCCCUUUGGAGAGGUUAUUAGCCAUAUUUCAGUGUCUCACAUCAGUGGGAGAAGGUUCACUUGAGGAAGGGCAGAGAGAAGAUGGUGGGGUUAUGGCAGAAGAUGGGGAUGUUGGACUUAUGUCUGAUGUUCUAUUGCAAUUAUCUACCCUCUGCAAUGCUAAUUUCAUAAUGAAAGGUGGAACCUGCCCAUUAGAAGGUUCUACUAGGUACCGAUCUACUGUGAGUGAAGAAAUGGCUUUGAAGGUUGCAAGGAGCUUGAGGUUCCCUUUAUCGAAGUACUUGUACAGACGUUGAUAUGCAAGGUGGUUACAAAUUGUGAUGUGUUUUUAUUAGGUUAACUUUCAAUGUUUCACUCCACCCAUUGUCUAUCAAGAAAAGAUGGAAAAGGUAGUGCCAAUUGAUGCUGGUUAACAUACUGACAUGGAACCGAUGUUCUACAGCCUAUAAUCUCCGUGGUUUUGUGGAGGGUCAAUUACUUCAUUUACUUUGAGAUCUAGAUUGAUACCCCCACCGGCCCACCCCCCUGUUUUAGGGUUGGAUUCAUGUCAGUGGAGGUUCUCUAGAGAUCCAAUUGUCAGUUCAGAAAUUGAUCAUCUCCUGUACCUAUUUCCCAUUGAAGACUAUUGAUCAAAAGUUUAAAACA